rnacentral:rRNA from 1 species
CACGUAGGGGGCGAGCGUUGUCCGGAAUUACUGGGUGUAAAGGGUGCGUAGGCGGCCUUGCAAGUCAGAUGUGAAAGAUCACAGCUUAACUGUGGUAAGCAUUUGAAACUGUAAGGCUUGAGUGCAGGAGAGGAGAGUGGAAUUCCUAGUGUAGCGGUGAAAUGCGUAGAUAUUAGGAAGAAUAUCAGUGGCGAAGGCGGCUCUCUGGACUGCAACUGACGCUGAGGCACGAAAGCGUGGGGAGCAAACAGG